CUCCUAAAUACAUAGCGCCGCACGCGCAAGACACUGACUCAGUCAACAAGUUUCUGCCCAGCAGCCUGAUCCGAAGGGAUUGGGGAAUCUUUGAGCCUGAGUCGUGAUGGGGAUUGAAGCUUGCAAUUAUUCUCCAUGAACGAGGAAUGUCUUGUAGCCGCGUUUCAUCAGAACGCAGCGAAUACGUCCCUGGUUCUUGUACACACCGCCCGUCGUUGCCUGUAAUGGGUUGUGAGUAGAGCCCUUUGGAGAUUAGAGGAUGGGGCAACCUGUCUUCGGAUCAAAUUUGGGCAAUACUUGCAAUCUAGAAGAGGCAAAAGUCGUANCA
rnacentral:rRNA from 1 species